GUCGUACGCGGUGAGCAUGGGCCACUUCUCGCCGCGCUCCUUGGCGGCGGCGAUGUCGUGGACGGUGACCCGGCGGGUGCCCUUCCCGCCGUACAGCGCC
rnacentral:tRNA from 1 species